GGCUUUGCAGUGCUGGGUGGCCUGGCAGGGUCUGAGGUCCCCCCACACAGUGGAGAACCUAGGAAACUUAGCAUGCUCCUACCCUGGUUCCGGCUCUGCAUCUCUGCUUCUGUGCUCCAGUCUUUCCGUCGGUGCAUCCAAAUUGGCAUCCAGGAGUCAGGCCCCAUUGGAUCCAGAUGUUUUCUAGAGUCCGUGUGGCCACGCAACGUAGACAACUACAGAACCCAUCAGAGAACCACUCCUACCUCGCACUUCAGGGCAUCUACACGACGACAUGGCUCAGAACAGGCGCAAAACCCAUGAAGAAAGAGGACAAUCACUAUGGAUGCAAGGGACAGAAAAAACAGUUCUGAGAAUAUGGCUUCUUAAGGCAGUUCGUGCCGCUCCACAGGUCACAGAACGUGACCUGAGCUCUUCACCGUUGGCAUCCAAAGGUUUUCGUCGGGUCCUCAGGAGAAUGCCAUUGCACUGCUCUUUCAGCCAAACAGACCUACAGCAGUUUGUUUAUAUGCUCACCUCCUGAACACCAGAAAGAAUCGUGACCAAGAAGGUAAGGAUUUAUAGUCAUAGUUCCAAUUUAGGCUGAGUUUGAGUGGCUUAAUUUGCUUCAUUGAAAAAAAAGUCUUUUGCCGAGAUAUGAAGACUUUUGUAAGCAGAAACUGAAAAGGUCUCAUGGGGCUUUCAGUCUGUUGUUUUCCUUUGCCCUACUGGGGCUUUUCCUUAGGUUGUAAAUUCCAGCUUUCUCAUGUCAGAUUCCUCCUUUGUUGAGCUUUAAGGCAUUUCUGGAAUUACUCAGAAAAGGGACUUUGACAAUCCCCUGCCCUGUUCUUAGGUCAUAGAGCUGAUUUAUGGCUGGAGGAGGUUCUCUAAACAGUAGAUGAAAUAGGUGAAAUGUUAUCCAUUUAUUAAAGUGGGUUCAGGAGUUCCUCCUGCUGAUCAGGAGGGAGGUGUCCUAAAUAUAAUCAGCCCUCGAUGUAUCAACUUAUUGCUAUUUUGUGAGUUUUACUGCAG
ensembl:lincRNA